GACGAACGCUGGCGGCGUGCUUAACACAUGCAAGUCGAACGGAAAGGCCCUGCUUUUGUGGGGUGCUCGAGUGGCGAACGGGUGAGUAACACGUGAGUAACCUGCCCUUGACUUUGGGAUAACUUCAGGAAACUGGGGCUAAUACCGGAUAGGAGCUCCUGCUGCAUGGUGGGGGUUGGAAAGUUUCGGCGGUUGGGGAUGGACUCGCGGCUUAUCAGCUGGUUGGUGGGGUAGUGGCUUACCAAGGCUUUGACGGGUAGCCGGCCUGAGAGGGUGACCGGCCACAUUGGGACUGAGAGACGGCGCAGACUCCUACGGGAGGCAGCAGUGGGGAAUAUUGCACAAUGGGCGGAAGCCUGAUGCAGCAACGCCGCGUGCGGGAUGACGGCCUUCGGGUUGUAAACCGCUUUCGCCUGUGACGAAGCGUGAGUGACGGUAAUGGGUAAAGAAGCACCGGCUAACUACGUG
rnacentral:rRNA from 1 species